rnacentral:rRNA from 1 species
CCGACUAACCAUGCGAGUCCAGGGGGGCUCUGCCCACCGGCGGACGGCUCAGUAACACGUGGACAACCUGCCCUCGGGAGGGGGAUAACCCCGGGAAACUGGGGCUAAACCCCCAUAGGUCAUGGGUGCUGGAAGGCCCCGUGGCCGAAAUUCCGAAAGGAGCCCGAGGAUGGGUCUGCGGCCUAUCAGGUUGUAGUGGGGGUAACGGCCCCACUAGCCUACGACGGGUACGGGCCCUGGGAGGGGGAGCCCGGAGAUGGACUCUGAGACACGAGUCCAGGCCCUACGGGGCGCAGCAGGCGCGAAACCUUCGCAAUGCGGGAAACCGCGACGAGGGGACUCCCAGUGCCUACGCUCAGCGUAGGCUGUUCCCGAGCCUAAAAAGCUCGGGGAGUAAGGGCUGGGUAAGACGGGUGCCAGCCGCCGCGGUAAUACCCGCAGCCCGAGUGGUGGCCACUAUUAUUGGGCCUAAAGCGUCCGUAGCCGGCCCGGUAAAUGCCUGGGUAAAUCGUGGAGCCCAACUCCACGAAUUCCGGGUAGACUGCCGGGCUAGGGACCGGAGGAGGGAGAGGGUACUCCAGGGGUAGGGGUGAAAUCCUGUAAUCCCUGGAGGACCACCGGUGGCGAAGGCGCUCUCCUAGGACGGGUCCGACGGUGAGGGACGAAAGCCAGGGGAGCGAACCGGAUUAGAUACCCGGGUAGUCCUGGCCGUAAACGAUGUGGGCUUGGU